rnacentral:lncRNA from 1 species
UAUGAAUAGUCAAUAUUAUUAACAUGAUACUAAUUAUAUAUGAUAAUAUAAUAGUAAUUUAUAAGUGGAUAGUGUGUAUAAGUAUAUACAAUUAUGUAUACAUUUGUCUCUGGGUUUGUAUUCCAUUCCCCCAUUUUUUUUCUGUGAGACCUCAUGCCUUAUCACUUGUCUUGUUUACAUAACGCAUUCCUUAGCUCAGACUUGGAUGAAUAGAGUGAUAGAAAGAAAUCUUGUGUCUGUCUUAGCCUUGUAGUACAAAAUAGAAUCACCUCUGUUCUGAGAGUGACUGGCAGUAUACACUUUUAAUUUCUGUCUUAAUACAAAAUGUCUACCGAUAUAAAUAUACUGACAGAUCAUUGAGGAUACCAGAAGCUGCAUCAGGUGUAAUAGAAUGUAUGCUCCAGUAAGCUAAGUCAUCUGAAUAUGCUGCAGCCUGUAUAAAAAGAAUAUCAAUAUCAUCAGUAUGAGGGGCUCUAUGCACUGCAGUUAAGAUCUGGUAACGAGAAAUAGUACUGUAAUUUGGCCAUAAGGGAAAAGAGGCACCAAAUCUGCAAAAUCAUUACCAUCCCUGACAAUUGAGUGAUCUGUAUCAUGGCCCUUGCACUUCACAAUAGCUAAAGAUCUAGGUAACCGUAUGGCCCUCAAUAAUCCAUCAAUUAAUGCAAAAUGAGAAACCGUUCGACCAUCAGCUGCAACAAAGCCUCUAGCCUGUCAAAUGACACCAAAAUAAUGAACCACUCCAAAGGCGUAUCUCGAAUCGGUAUUCUGGCCCAGACUUAAUAUCUGGCAUAUACCUUUAAAUCUAGCUUUCUGACAUGUCUAAACUCUCCUUCACCUCAUGCUUACAAUGGAACUAGUGAUUGGGGUUUGGAGGGAACUAUUUGCCAGCUUUUUACCCUGUGACGAUGGCCCCUUUAAUUUAUUGUGGAUGAGAGACUCUAUUUGUGGCUAUUGGGACUUUAAACAAUUGUUCUUCGAACUCCCGAACAGUUGAAGUGGCUGCCAUUCGACGUGGUGGCGGCCAUCUUGUUCACAUGGACCAAAACCACUAUUAGACUUCAGGGGGACUUAGCCGCGAAAGCCCUGGAACUAUUUUCGGCAUGAAAACCUUGUGGUUCACGGUCAGAAGACAUGAAUGGACUUUAUAUCAAGGAACCUAGCCAUAUCAUUCCUGAGUUCAUCCAUCUGCUGCGCUCAGAACUGGGCUACAUAAUGAACGCUGGAAUGGAAAAUAUGUCUGUUAAAGUAUUAAAGUUAUGUAAUUUUAUACAGUUUUAUGGGUUGUAAUAAAACGUGGGAUUUUGGGCACUUGGAGAUAAUUACAUUGUCCCAACCGUUGGACUCAUUAUCUCCAAGCUGGGUGGUAACAAUUUCAAAGGAUACAUUGUAUUACUAUUAGUCAACUGCUCAUAUUGUCACUGUAUCCCAUCAGGUCCAGAGGGGGCUGUCCCUGGAAUAGUGAUGCCUGUGUGCCAUUAAAGCCAGUUCGUUUUACCCUCAAUUCGCAGCCUCGACUCGUGGUGUAGGGAUCCGGGAAUCCUAGCUUUACUAUAGCUAGUGGGAUAUUCUACACUUACAGGUUUCUACUGUUUGAAGCAGAGUUCGACUCUCCACCUUCGGGAACCAGGACAUCAAAGCGAUCCAAACUCCUGCUAGACCGGAGGCAAUCGUAACAUGUUCCUAUCUUGUUAUAAAAAUGUUUUUUUGGGUUUUUUUUUAAAGUGCAGUACCUCUUGACUACCUGUACCAAAUGUUUAAUAUGAUAUGUAAUACUGAACAAGUCACUGUUUACGCCUGUACUAAGCUCUGCACUCAAAAAUAAAGAAUAAAAAAAAUUAAAAUCUGC